rnacentral:rRNA from 1 species
GCUCACCAAGCCGACGAUCCUUAGGGGUUCUGAGAGGAUUAUCCCCCACACUGGUACUGAGACACGGACCAGACUCCUACGGGAGGCAGCAGUGAGGAAUGUUGGUCAAUGGACGCAAGUCUGAACCAGCCAUCCCGCGUGCAGGAUGACGGCCCUAUGGGUUGUAAACUGCUUUUAUGUACCAAGAAACGCUUUUACGUGUAGAAGUUUGACGGUAGUAUAUGAAUAAGGACCGGCUAACUCCGUGCCAGCAGCCGCGGUAAUACGGAGGGUCCAAGCGUUAUCCGGAUUCAUUGGGUUUAAAGGGUGCGCAGGCGGAACUUUAAGUCAGUGGUGAAAUCUUGCCGCUUAACGGUAAAAUUGCCAUUGAUACUGAAGUUCUUGAAUAUGGUUGAGGUAGGCGGAAUGUGUUGUGUAGCGGUGAAAUGCAUAGAUAUGACACAGAACGCCGAUUGCGAAGGCAGCUUACUAGCCAUUAUUGACGCUGAGGCACGAAAGCGUGGGGAGCGAACAGGAUUAGAUACCCUGGUAGUCCACGCCGUAAACGAUGUUCACUCGCUGUCUGCGAUACACAGUAGGCGGCUUAGCGAAAGCAUUAAGUGAACCACCUGGGGAGUACGAUCGCAAGGUUGAAACUCAAAGGAAUUGACGGGGGCCCGCACAAGCGGAGGAACAUGUGGUUUAAUUCGAUGAUACGCGAGGAACCUUACCUGGGCUUAAAUGUAGAUUGCAUAGAUUAGAGAUAGUCUUUUUCUUCGGAACUAUUUACAAGGUGCUGCAUGGUUGUCGUCAGCUCGUGCCGUGAGGUGUCGGGUUAAGUCUCAUAACGAGCGCAACCCCUAUCGUUAGUUGCUAGCAGGUAAUGCUGAGGACUCUAGCGAGACUGCCACCGUAAGGUGAGAGGAAGGUGGGGAUGACGUCAAAUCAGCACGGCCCUUAUGCCCAGGGCUACACACGUGUUACAAUGGUCGGUACAAAGGGCAGCUACUUGGUGACAAGAUGCUAAUCCCUAAAGCCGAUCCCAGUUCGGAUUGGAGUCUGCAACCCGACUCCAUGAAGUUGGAUUCGCUAGUAAUCGGAUAUCAGCCAUGAUCCGGUGAAUACGUUCCCGGGCCUUGUACACACCGCCCGUCAAACCAUGGAAGCUGGGGGUGCCUGAAGUCUGUGACCGUAAGGAGCGGCCUAGGGUAAAACUAGUAACUAGGGUUAAG